rnacentral:rRNA from 1 species
GACGAACGCUGGCGGCGUGCUUAACACAUGCAAGUCGAACGAAGAGCGAUGGAAGCUUGCUUCUAUCAAUCUUAGUGGCGAACGGGUGAGUAACGCGUAAUCAACCUGCCCUUCAGAGGGGGACAACAGUUGGAAACGACUGCUAAUACCGCAUACGAUCUAAUCUCGGCAUCGAGGAUAGAUGAAAGGUGGCCUCUACAUGUAAGCUAUCACUGAAGGAGGGGAUUGCGUCUGAUUAGCUAGUUGGAGGGGUAACGGCCCACCAAGGCGAUGAUCAGUAGCCGGUCUGAGAGGAUGAACGGCCACAUUGGGACUGAGACACGGCCCAGACUCCUACGGGAGGCAGCAGUGGGGAAUCUUCCGAAAUGGACGAAAGUCUGACGGAGCAACGCCGCGUGAGUGAUGACGGCCUUCGGGUUGUAAAGCUCUGUUAAUCGGGACGAAAGGCCUUCUUGCGAAUAGUGAGAAGGAUUGACGGUACCGGAAUAGAAAGCCACGGCUAACUACGUG